ensembl:lncRNA
UGUGGGGUUGGCAUUUUAGGGUACAUCAGUUGUAUAGUUAUGUGCCGUAGCGAAACAGACAUGAACCUAAUCAAUUCAGUUUAAAUCAAUUCAGAUACUCGCUGCCAAAAUAUCCAUGAUGCUCCUGCACUGCGGUGAAUGAAAUCUUUCAAUACAGUUUUCUUUUUCACGUUUGAAAGUAACCAGAUGUUAACUUUGCUCGUGCUUGAGAUAUGAUCAUAAGUGUCCAGAGCUCUAUAUAGUAGAAAUGUCAUCAUGUCAAAGAAGUGUUUUCCCAGGCCACUGCCCAAAUAUUAUCCCAUCCAACUCAGUAUUUCAUCUUGUCCCAUAUCAGAAUACAUUGCACUUAAAAGGCAUGUCGUGGUGGAUUUAGUGAGCUGUAACCACUAAAUGGAUGCUUUUAAAAGAUUUACAUUCAUGCUUAAAACCUGUGCAGCUACAGUCGCUACAAAAUGUAUAUGCAAUGUCGCAAGGCCUGUGUUCCUAUAACUUAAUGCCGUAUACUAGCCUGAGUUUUGUGAUUUUGCUUAACUAUGUUAACACUGGUUUAGUGCACUUCACAAGUGUUAAGUUAGAAAGUGUAACUCUGUUGUAAUGUAUAUUUCCCAUAAUUCUGGGAUAUAUUUCAAUGUUUAUUAUGUGUAACUGUGUAAUCUAUAGAUCUAUAUCUGAAAUUUAGUCAUAUAUAGUUUUCUAUGCUGUACUGAUACUGAAUAUAUAAGUAUUUUCAUGAAGUACUGACCUCUAAAAGUGUAAUUAUGCACUUACUUACACGUAUAAGGCUGUGGAAAUGAAACUGGCACUUGACUUGUUUGGUUUCGUUCCUCACAGUCAGUGGGACAUGAGAGCAGAGAGACACAAACUUUUAUCAACCCGGGACUCCUGUUGGUUUUGGCACCAAAUCCUGCCUUUCUAUAGUUUUGUGGUUCUUAAACUUUGUGCAGCCGGGGACCCCUUAAACUGUCAAAUAAAUUCCACACACCACUACAGUACAGAUUUAUUUCAUGAACAUGAUCCUACUAUUUAAAUAUUAGGUUGAUUAUUAAUUACGUACAGUGAUAUUGUGACCGUUGUUUUUUUGGAAGCCUCAGGGCGAAUCUUCCACUGACAGAACACGUUACAGUCAAGCUGACAUUAUUUAUAGGCCAACUUUUUUUCGGCUCAUCGACCUAAGCGUGCGCAACCUGGUUGCAAAAAGACCUGAGUAGGUUAGCAUUCUGACGCUACUUCUAUAUUUUUCUAAGCUAUAGUCGGAAUGAAAAAUCUAUCAAGAAUUUCAUCCAAAAUAUUAAUAAAAUAUUAUCCACUUAUUAUUAUGGAUUAGCGCUUAAAGACAGGGAGUGCUAUUCAGCUGAAGUAACAUUUUCCAAUGAUGUUAACUCUAGAAGAUUUUUAUGGCUUGGCCCUGUGUAAGUGGCCAAAUUAUGCUAAGCGGUGAUCAAGUCUUUAUUGGCUGGAUAGACUGUAUAUACAUAUCUCAUAGAAACACUGAGCGUUUGUACUAGAGAGAAAUGAACGUAGGUGUGCAGGUCUCUUGAGGGAGGAUGUUGUGGCACAGAAAGCCACAGAGUUAGUUAGGAAAUGCAUCCAUUAUAGGCAUCUUCUCUGUAAGAACACAACCUAGCUAUCUAGCGUUAGCUAGCUAUUGAUGUAAAAUUUUAGGCGAGUUACUUUAGGCGGUUUGGGUAAUUAAUAUAAAUUGGGUGUGUUUGCUAACUAGCGAGUUACGUCUGUUAAACCAUUCAUGGUUAGCAAGCCAACUUUACUGAUCUGGUAGGUAGAUACGUCGCUGAGAUGUAACAGGGCCAGCGAAGACAUGGAGCUCCUCAGACCAGUUAUCUCUGCUAAAUGCCUUUAACCACAACUGGCUUGGAAAGGUGUCAAGUUGGACAGGAUGGGGGGGGGGGGGGGUAAGACCCCAAAUGUGUUUGACUGAUUUUACGAUUCUGACACCCAACAGCACAACACGACAUUUUAGAAAACUAAUUCUGGCUUGCUCUUCCGCUAUGUUUUUGCAAUCAGGAGGCGUGGCUGGCGUCGGUGUCCUGUCUGACUCAGGAAUCUACUGCUAUUAAUUCAAAUGACCAAUCAGACAGGUUAAUAACUAAGAAAUCAUUAAGUAGAAUAGCUUUUAUAAAGGUGGCUUAAAAAAAACGAGACAAAACAAAAACCCUGGCUAUGCUUCACGUACUCCAUUUUGAGAACCACUGGUUUCUAGAAAUGUGUUUUAUGCAGUAUAUAAAACAGUCUGAGCGAAGUCGCUGAAUGCUGGAUUCUUUACUCGUGUAACAUUUGUAAUCUUUAAAAUGACGUCCUUAAAUGCAUUUACAUGUUCAGUAAUGGUUUGAAAGCAUUAUGAAUCUAAUUGAAUUGAAAAGUUUGUCUAGUUUUUUUUCUUGAUUUACAUUUACAAAGAAAAAGUCUAAUUUUGUUGUCUGGAGGUGAGUAUUUUUGCAUUGCUCUUGCUAUUUUCGACACUUUUUUUUUUUUGGUCCAAGACGUUUAACAUGAAGAUGAGUUUUGCCAGAUGUAUUGGACACAGUACUGUAUGCAGUAGUCAGCUGUCUGUUCCUUUUUCUCUUUAUUUUUUUAUGGAAAUGAAGUGAAACAGACAGGAAAAAAAAAAACCCUGAACGAUGUAAAUACAUAUGUAUAUACAGAUAUUCAUAGUCUUCAGUCUUGAACAUGGAGAUAAUUCUAGUUUGAACCUUGUUUGUAAAUGCUGUGGUAGAAAAUGGAACUGGUAUUUUUGCAAUAAAGCGAUAUUGUGCUCUAAUGAGGAGCGAAACAGAAAUGCUUCUAACAUGGAUUUGAAUUUUUAUUACCUUUCACUGUUGAACCUCACCAAAUUAUGAAGUCUUUUUUGAAAAGGUGGCAAAUUCCAAUUAGCAUAGCUUCAGCAUGUCGUUAGAAUUCCCUUUUCAGAGACCUUAUUGCAUUUGAUAGUUAAAAACUGAUUAUAUUCACUGACUUAAAAAAAAAAAUUCCCCCGGCCGCAUGUUAUAAAUAUUUUUGUAUAAUGAGUGUUAUUCUUUCACGUUCAUAAGAACUUUUUCAAGCCUGAACUUGAAUAAACUACAUUUAAAUAAAUAACAUUUCCCUUAUUAAGCCCUUGAGCCUCAGAAAAUACUGUUUGAUUGGGACAAGGGCCGAGAGGUCGAAAGCUCCU